AUUGAACGCUGGCGGCAGGCUUAACACAUGCAAGUAGAACGAGGGGCGGACGGGUGAGUAAUGUCUGGGAAAUUGCACGAGGGAGGGGGAAAAAAACUGGAAAUGGGAGCGAAUACCGCCUAACAUAGGCUGUGCCAAGAUGGGUUGAGCUAGUAGGUGGGGUAACGGCUAACAGAGGCGACGACCCCUAUUUGGUCUGCGAGGAUGACCAGCCACACCGGAAAUGAGACCCGGUCCAGACUCCUACGGGAGGCAGCAGUGGGGAAUAUUGCGCAAUUGGCGCAAGCCUGAGGCAUCCAUGCCGCGUGUAUGAAGAAGGACUUUGGGUUUUAAAGUACUUGCAGCGUGGAGGCGUUACUCACAGAAGAAGCACCGGCUAACUCCGUGCCAGCAGCCGCGGUAAUUC
rnacentral:rRNA from 1 species